rnacentral:misc_RNA from 1 species
CCUGCUUAGGCAGCGACGCCCUACCCCGCAUGCCAUCUCAAUGUUGGCACAAGCGCGUGUUAGACUUGGCCGCGAGUCGGUUUCCUGUGUUGCAUACCAGUUGCCUUGGCAUUGCUCGUACUACCGGUUGCCUUUUUCGCCCUUUGCAUCCAAUGUGCGGGGUGAACCAAAACGCGUCGGUCGUGUCCCACGUCUUCUUCGCAUCGUCGUAAGAAGGCGUGGCCCGUGACCGGUUGCUCGGACUCUCGGACGCGGUAAACACAGUGGGCAUGGGGUCUUCACUGGCCCCUGUGUGCCCAGAACAAAAUGCUCCUUACGAAUGACUGCCGUGCUCGUCUCGGACUUGGCCGUGCGGCAGCACUAUGCCAGGCUCGUGCGACGCCGGCGUCAAUGAGGAAUGCUACCUGGUUGAU